GAUGAACGCUGGCGGCGCGCUUAACACAUGCAAGUCGAGCGAGAACCAGGGCUUCGGCCCUGGGGACAGCGGCGAACGGGUGAGUAACACGUGGAUAACCUGCCCUCGGCACCGGGAUAGCCCGGGGAAACCCGGAUUAAUACCGGAUGGCCCUUCCGGCUCACGAGCCGGUCGGAAAAGGUAGCUUCGGCCUCCGGCCGAGGCUGGGUCCGCGGCGGAUUAGCUUGUUGGUGGGGUAACGGCCCACCAAGGCUCCGAUCCGUAGCUGGUCUGAGAGGGCGAUCAGCGACCCUGGGACUGAGACACGGCCCAGACGCCGACGGGAGGCAGCAGUGGGGAAUCUUGCGCAAUGGGCGAAAGCCUGACGCAGCGACGCAGCGUGAGGGAGGAAGGCCUUCGGGUUGUAAACCUCUUUCAGGAGGGACGAAGCUACUCGGGUGAAUAGCCCAGAGGGUGACGGUACCUCCAGAAGAAGCCCCGGCUAACUACGUGCCAGCCGCCGCAGUAA
rnacentral:rRNA from 1 species